AACGCGAAGAACCUUACCUGGGCUUGAACCGCUACUGACCAAGGGUAGAAAUAUCCUCUUCCCGCAAGGGACAGUAGUAGAGGUGCUGCAUGGCUGUCGUCAGCUCGUGCCGUGAGGUGUUGGGUUAAGUCCCGCAACGAGCGCAACCCUUACUCGUAGUUGCUACCCGCAAGGGAGAACUCUACGAGGACUGCUCCGGAUAACGGAGAGGAAGGUGGGGAUGACGUCAAGUCAGCACGGCCUUUAUGUCCAGGGCUACACACGUGUUACAAUGCACGGUACAGACUGUUGCGAACCCGCGAGGGGGAGCUAAUCGGACAAAACCGUGCUCAGUUCGGAUUGCAGUCUGCAACUCGGCUGCAUGAAGCUGGAAUCGCUAGUAAUGGCGUAUCAGAUCGACGCCGUGAAUACGUUCCCGGGCCUUGUA
rnacentral:rRNA from 1 species